rnacentral:rRNA from 1 species
GACGAACGCUGGCGGCGUGCUUAACACAUGCAAGUCGAACGGAAAGGCCCUGCUUUUGUGGGGUGCUCGAGUGGCGAACGGGUGAGUAACACGUGAGUAACCUGCCCUUGACUUUGGGAUAACUUCAGGAAACUGGGGCUAAUACCGGAUAGGAGCUCCUGCUGCAUGGUGGGGGUUGGAAAGUUUCGGCGGUUGGGGAUGGACUCGCGGCUUAUCAGCUUGUUGGUGGGGUAGUGGAUUACCAAGGCUUUGACGGGUAGCCGGCCUGAGAGGGUGACCGGCCACAUUGGGACUGAGAUACGGCCCAUACUCCUACGGGAGGCAGCAGUGGGGAAUAUUGCACAAUGGGCGGAAGCCUGAUGCAGCAACGCCGCGUGCGGGAUGACGGCCUUCGGGUUGUAAACCGCUUUCGCCUGUGACGAAGCGUGAGUGACGGUAAUGGGUAAAGAAGCACCGGCUAACUACGUG